AUUGAACGCUGGCGGAAUGCUUUACACAUGCAAGUCGAGCGGCAGCGCGGCCUUCGGGCUGGCGGCGAGCGGCGAACGGGUGAGUAAUGCAUCGGAACAUGCCCAGUCGUGGGGGAUAACACUUCGAAAGAAGUGCUAAUACCGCAUACGUCCUGAGGGGGAAAGCGGGGGAUCGCAAGACCUCGCGCGAUUGGAUUGGCCGAUGUCAGAUUAGCUAGUUGGUGGGGUAAAGGCCUACCAAGGCGACGAUCUGUAGCUGGUCUGAGAGGAUGAUCAGCCACACUGGGACUGAGACACGGCCCAGACUCCUACGGGAGGCAGCAGUGGGGAAUUUUGGACAAUGGGGGCAACCCUGAUCCAGCCAUUCCGCGUGAGUGAAGAAGGCCUUCGGGUUGUAAAGCUCUUUCGGCAGGAACGAAACGGUGGGCUCUAACAUAGUCCGCUAAUGACGGUACCAGAAGAAGCACCGGCUAACUACGUG
rnacentral:rRNA from 1 species